rnacentral:tRNA from 1 species
UCUAAUAUGGCAGAAUAGUGCAACAACUUUAAGCGUUGUAUAUAAAGUAAAAUAAUACUUUUAUUAGAA